GAUAAAAGGUCCUUUUGAGUUUCGGAGCCCCGAUGUAGAGGAAACAUCACUACUCUGAAGUAUGAGUCAAACUAGUCAAAAAUAAGUCGGACUGGACUAUAUUUUUUCAGGAGCGCUGUCAGCAUUGCUGCAGAGAUUGAAGAGGUGGGGGGGGUCAGCCUGUUAGUGUUCAGACCAUACGCCGCACUCUACAUCAAAUUGGUGUGCAUGGCUGUCACCCCAGGAGGAAGCCUCUUCUGAAGACGAUUUCCUCUAGAGCAGUGAUGUUUUGGGGACGUCGUUGGGCAACACGGACUUUCAACUCCCUCCUCACCCGGUGGCGUCAAAAUGAUUACAAGAACGGUGAACAAAAAUCCCAGAACCACAAGGGGGGACCUAGUCAAUGACCUACGGAGAGCUGGGACCACAGUAACAAAGGCUACAAUCAGUAACACAAUGCGCCGCCUGGGGCUCAAAUCCUGCACUGCCAGACGUGUCCCCCUGAUGAAGAAAGUACAUGUCCAGGACAUAACACAUUCUCCCAGUCCUCUUCAGGAUCAUCCAAAUGCAUUCUAGCAAACCGCAGACGGGCCUGGACCCUGAAUAUAGCAUGUUUUGUUUUUUAAUUGUUAAAAUACCCUGAAACAAUAUAAAUUGUUCAUUGUUACCACCACAUCUUCUGCUUCCUUAAUUUUUGCCAGACCUGUGUUUUAUUUGUUACCAAGGGGCUUGCCUUGCCCA